UGGGGAAUAUUGCACAAUGGGGGGAACCCUGAUGCAGCGACGCCGCGUGAGUGAAGAAGUAUUUCGGUAUGUAAAGCUCUAUCAGCAGGGAAGAAAAUGACGGUACCUGACUAAGAAGCCCCGGCUAACUACGUGCCAGCAGCCGCGGUAAUACGUAGGGGGCAAGCGUUAUCCGGAUUUACUGGGUGUAAAGGGAGCGCAGGCGGCGAUGCAAGCCAGAAGUGAAAACCCGGGGCCCAACCCCGCGGAUUGCUUUUGGAACUGUGUUGCUGGAGUGCAGGAGAGGCAAGCGGAAUUCCUGGUGUAGCGGUGAAAUGCGUAGAUAUCAGGAGGAACACCGGUGGCGAAGGCGGCUUGCUGGACUGUAACUGACGCUGAGGCUCGAAAGCGUGGGGAGCAA
rnacentral:rRNA from 1 species